ACUAAUGUCCGGGGAAAAUUUCAUGUGACUAGCCUCACUGGAAGUAUACUUACUGAAAAAAAUAUUGACGUGUUCAAUACUUAUUUUCCCUGCUGUAUUCACACACAUGCAUCAUGCACCCCAACACGUACUGAUGAGAUGGCAGGAAGUGUUUAAAACGCUCUCUCAGGAGCUCUCACUGGCAGCGAUGAAGGGAUGAUGAGAUGGAGAGGUAGAAAAAGUGGAGGAAAGAAGGUGGAGAGUGAGGAGGAGAAAUGCUGGCAGCUGACAGGAAGUAUUCUGUCGUUACUAAGCACAAACAACACCAGCCACCAGAUCACUAUGACAACAAGAGCACCUGGACACAACACAUCGCUAAGAUGACAACAGGAUAUCUGUUGUGUGUGUUGUGUCCAGGUGACAGGUCAUCACACACACACACACGCCUGAUGAUAUAGGACAGGUCAUCACACACACACACAGACGCCUGAUGAUAUAGGACAGGUCAUCACACACACACACAGACGCCUGAUGAUAUAGGACAGGUCAUCACACACACACACACACGCCUGAUGUUGUCCAGGCAUGUGGGGAAGAGUGCCGAGGCUGCAUCUGCUGCUCUAGUGAGCGGAACAACUGGAGUGGCUAUUUUGGGCCUGCUGUUAUUCUUUGCCUUUAGCGAUGGAGUGGUCAUGAGAAGAGAUACCUCUCUUGCUCGCCCUCACGCUUACAAACAGGAGCUAUUUCAGUGGAUGAGAGAUGCCCAAAAUAAACCCCUCUUAGCUGGAGCUGCUCAAAUCAGUUUUUCCAUGCUUUUGAAAGUGAACACACUCCCAUUCUUACACACACACUUGACUUUAUCAAAAGGUUUUGUUCCCAUUAGUGGGAGUGUUGUUAUUAUUAGCUCAAAUCGUUUAGACAAGUCGGGAUGGAGGGAUCCUCGAGGAGAAGGGAGGGAUGGAGAGAUCAUGAGAGAGAGGAGGAGGGAGGGAUGGAGAGAUCAUGAGAGCGAGGAGGAGGGAAGUAUUUGAAGCAGAGAAGAAAGCGAGGGAUGGAUAAUAGGAUUGAAGCAGGAAUGAGAGGAAUGUCUCAGGGCUGUUUUUACUUUGCUCUGUGUGCGAUUCUUUCCCAAACUUGGCGUGUGGGACACCAGAGGCUGAGGUGGUUUGGGAGGGGUGAGGGACGUGCGCGCGUGUGUGUGUGUGUGUGUGUGUGACUCAGGAAGAGCCUGAACACUGAACAUUCCGACCCAGCUACAGGUGGAAUGCCAGUCAGUGGCGGGGAUGCGAGGUCUUCCAUGCGUAUCAGAUCACACACACACACACAUAAAGCCAGUCAGUGGCGGGGAUGCCAGGUCUUCCAUGUGUGUCAGAUCAAUGUGUUACACUGACAUGACAGACACACACACAUAAAGCCAGUCAGUGGCUGGGAUGAGAGGUCUUACAUGUGUGUCAGAUCACACACACACACACACACAUACACAUGCAGCCACAUUAGUGUGCUAUCAAGGGUGCUAUUCAACAUCUUUUCACCACAAGCAAUACAUGGAGUUUUAAAAGAUGAUACAGUUGAAAACAGAAGCUACAGACUUGGGUGUGAUGGCAGACAUCCCAAUACUUUUGUCCAUACAGUGUAUUAUAUUAUAAUUGUAAAUGUCUCAUUGAAAUGAUGCUGAAUUGAUGCAUUUUUUUAUGUUAAUUUAUGGUCGUUUUAGCCAAAUAAAAAUGCUGUAUCUACAUAUGA